rnacentral:rRNA from 1 species
GAUCAUGGCUCAGGACGAACGCUGGCGGCGCGCCUAACACAUGCAAGUCGAACGGAGUUUACAGGCAGAAGUUUUCGGAUGGAAGCUUGUAAACUUAGUGGCGGACGGGUGAGUAACACGUGAGCAACCUGCCUAUCAGAGGGGGGAUAACGAUUGGAAACGAUCGCUAAUACCGCAUGACAUAGCGGAACCGCAUGGUUCUGUUAUCAAAGAUUUUAUCGCUGAUAGAUGGGCUCGCG